UACAGAGGUGGCAAGCGUUGUUCGGAAUUACUGGGCGUAAAGGGCGCGUAGGCGGUCUUCUAAGUCUUGUGUGAAAUCCCUCGGCUCAACUGAGGAACUGCACGGGAUACUGGAUGACUUGAGUUCGGGAGAGGGUAGCGGAAUUCCGGGUGUAGCGGUGAAAUGCGUAGAUAUCCGGAGGAACACCGGUGGCGAAGGCGGCUUCCUGGACCGAUUACUGACGCUGAGGCGCGAAAGCUAGGGGAGCAAACGGG
rnacentral:rRNA from 1 species